rnacentral:lncRNA from 1 species
UGGCAUUAAUUACCACUUAAUUUCUUUGGCAGUAUACAGUAACCCAGAACUUGAUUUUAAGACCAAAUUUCGCAUAGGAGAUUUUUGGGAUGCACAUCGUAGUAGUUAUAGCCAAUGUGUUUCUCAAUGAUGCAAUAUAUCCAUCAAAAUGGGAAGAAGAAAAGACCUCAGACACCAUCAGAAAUUAAACUUAAUCCAUUAACAAAUGUUUUGAACAAUGAUAGGAAGGAGAACUAGUAGAUCCACAAA